GACAGAGGUGCCGAGCGUUAGGCGGAAUCACUGGGCUUAAAGCGUGUGUAGGCGGGCGGCCAAGUACCUUGUGAAAUCCCACGGCUCAACCGUGGAACUGCUGGGUAUACUGGUCGUCUUGAGCCAAUCAGGGGGCGAGCGGAACAGACGGUGGAGCGGUGAAAUGCGUAGAUAUCGGAAGGAACACCAGUGGCGAAAGCGGCUUCCUGGUCCAGCACCGACGUUCAGGCACGAAAGCGUGGGGAGCAAACAGGG
rnacentral:rRNA from 1 species